CGGUUUCAAUUUGCUGCGGGCAAAUAAAAUGAAUGUGUGAAUCAAUGCCGCCGGCGGUCACAAUUUUUCCUUCUGCCGCGAUGACUUCUGUUGAUGCACCGAUGACAAUGUCGACACCGUCCAUCAAAAGCGGAUUGCCCGCCUUGCCAAUCGCCCAAAUCUCACCGUCUUUCACGCCGAUAUCUGCUUUGUAAAUCCCCGUAUAAUCAAGUACAAUCGCAUUGGUUAACACCAGAUCGACCGCUUCAUCCCGCUUCGCAUGCGGGUGCUGCCCCAUUCCGUCGCGG
rnacentral:sRNA from 1 species